GAGCCAAGAUUAUGCCAGUGCACUCCAGCGUGGGCAACAAGAGUGAAACUCCUUCUCAAAAAAAUACAAAAAUGCUGAGGAUGUGUAGUCAAGUGAUGUUCCUGAUCUCGCCCCAGAAACAAAGACAGGUCAGUGUACGUUAACACUGGACUUCAUCAUGAUUUGAAGAGUUCUAUUCUCAGGGCAGGUGGCAGUUCUAUGAGCUCAUUCCCAUAAGCAUUCUUAAAAGUUACACCAUGAAGGUAGCAACCAGAAUAGAAAGAUCCUAAAAGAGCCAGCAGCUUUCAGCAGAGCCUUGGAUGGUGGACCGCAGCUCGGUGUCUCCUGUUCACACUUGAGACCCCCACAGCCAUGAGGAGGAGGAGAACAGGAGCUCAGGAGAUGCACGUGGAUGGGCGUUCUGAAGUAAUGAAGGGGCUGAGGAGGUUCUGCUGCUCUCCAUGACUGCCCACAAGCACUGCAAAUGGCCUAACCCUGUGCGGGUGAGAAAGCCUGGGAGUGAACAAACCUCCAAGUCAGGGAAGUCAGAGCCAGCAGCUGUAAGGCCCUUGCAUACGGCUACAGCACACCUCCAAGUUCUCAAAGAAAAAACUCCAGUUUUCACCUGGUUCUGCACAAAGCUGGGAAUGGAGUGGCCAGCAGGGCAUGUGGCUAGAGGAAAGCCAAGACCACCCACCCCUCCCUAUUCGUGUGCCAGGUGGGCUUGCUAGGGACACAAGUGCCAGUGUCAGGGCAGGGAUGCCACAGAGCCACAGCCAGGCCGAAGGGGCCCAGGGCAUGGUCAGGAAUGAGAAAGAAGGGAGCCUGAGGCUCUCCCACCACCAGGCCUCCAAAGCCACUCACAUUCAGCAGCAGACCCUGAGGUUAGGGCCCAGGUCAGAUGGGCUAAGGGACUCCAAUACCACCCGUCCUGAAUCUCAACCUACAGAUGUUUGCAGCUUCCUCAUGCAAACAUUCAGUGCUGGUACAGAAAAGUCCCCAGUGACCUGUCUGAAAUCUUCAAUCACAUCAUUUCCAAACAAGUGACAAAAAGCACAUUCAGGUACACAGAGCUGCACUGCAGGCAGCCACAUUCCAUCCAAACAGCAGAUUCGAUCCUGCCCCAGAGGGGUGAGAUGACGAGGAAAAGCAUCCGUGGGGCAAAAGAUGGAGAGCACCAACCUCCCAGCUCCACCGGCCACCUUCCCAGUCAAGCUCCAAUGUGCUUGGCUAUCCCAAACUGGGUUUCUCAGCCUCCUUAAAAACAGUUUUACCUAAAUCUCAGCUGCCCUUAGGCCUCUGAGGAUGACAUCAGCCCUUCCGAGUCCUCACCUGCAGGGAAUGGACCAACUGCAGGUUCCUCUUGGAGGGUGGAUGCUUUCCCCAGUAAGCGAAGCUGCCAUGUUUGGAGGCGCACAGACUCUGUGCCUGUCCCUACAGAAUCAGAGCCAAGAACUGGCUAAGGACACAGCAGAGUGGAAAAAACAAGACCUGUAGUCAUGACUGGAGGGAUUGACUGUGCGGCCAAGAAGGCCUCCCCUUCCAGGCUGCAUGGCUCCAGCCCUGCCUGGCAUCACCACAGGUCACCACCAUGGACAAACCCCCACAACACACACACCAGAACCAGAAGCCACGUGAACUGACUCACAGCCCAUGGCUAUUUGAGACAUUGUGAGUGGAAACCAUUUAUGCACCCAAACACUGGAAGCAUAGUUGAGAUUUGAGAUUCCUUUAAUCAGAAGUGCUCGUCUCCCACCAGUGUGCUCUUCAAGCCCCAAAGGGCAUGCCUCUGAGGGACUGGGUCCCUUAGAGCAAGCCUCAGGCUCCUGGUAAAAAUGCAUUUUCUUGAUUUUAUUGAAACAAUGGUGAACCCUGAAGGGUGCCAGUCUACAUGCCUGAGGGUCCCCCAGGCUUCAGGGCCACAAGUCACCAUCCCUCAGGGACCGCAUCAUUUGGCAUGAGAGAAAAAUAGUGACCACCACAGAGGGCAAGGAGUGACAAAGCGUGUAGGCUAAUGCUGCAAAAGCUGCUAGAAUCUGGCCACACGGAGAGCCGGCAGGUGUGCCUCAGGAUCUGCAUGGCUCCUGGGUGGGCCGCCCUACUGCCACCUUCUCCACUGGCUUUUCUCCUGAGUCUUUUUCCCAGGCGGGCCAGAUUACCAUUUAAGGACCUUGCCAAUUUUCUGAUUCUGGGAAGCAAAGUAAGAAUUUGCCAAAUGCACUGAGGCUGGGCAGUAGGAAUUUUUUUUUUUUUUUUAAAGGCCAGUCAGAAGUUGAUCAGGAAAAUGUUUCCCAGGAUAUUCUCAGGUUGGUCUCCAGACAAAGGCACACAGACUGUCACCUUCCCAAGGUCCCUCACCAGUAGGACGUGUCCAGGGUACCCAGCACAAGGACUAGUAGCAGAAAGGGAAGACUCACCAGGGACACCCACUCGGGCACGGAGCUGGCUGUGGGCUAGGGCAACAGCCAGCUUUGGGCACCGUGCUCCCUCUUCUUCAGGAGAUGCCAACCUCAGCCAAGAUUUUCAAUGGGGUCCCCACACGGAGGUGUUAACAACACAGGGCACACAGCAGUGGAGGCAUCAGUGCAUGGGGUCUCCAAGCUGAAGUGUACCCAGGGGGUCCUGCUUUCCAAAAUGUGUCCCCAGACGUAGGUGUGGCUUUUCAAGAAAGCUGUCCCCUCAACUGCAAAGGGCUUUCCUCAUCAUCUCGUAUGAGCAUUCCUGGCACCUGAGUGAACCACUCACAGGAGAGAAAUGCAAGGACUGCUUCAGAAAUGCGAGCCUGGAGCCUUGUGUUCUGGAGAAAAUGGCUGGCAGCUUGGUUUUGACAAUGCUUGCGUGCAUGGAGGAAAGCAAGGACAAAACGCCCUGUCUGGAACAGGCUGACGAGGACAGUCAAGUGGCUGGAACAAUGGCCUCAGCUCCAAAGCUGGAGAAGAGGGGCCGGGGCAGGUGUGUCGGCCGGGCUGUGCACUCACAUUGACAUUCUCCAGUGACUCAGGUCACUACAACCACUCCACAGGUGAGGAAGCUGAGAUCAGAGGUGAAAUGCUUCUGUCCAAACUUGACCGAGCCGAGAGAGAGAGAUGGGAUUCAAUCCAGAGUCCGCCCCCAACCCUGAGAUCCCACCAACUUCCCAAGCUUGCUCUCCACACGCUGUGCCCAUCACACCUGCACGGCCUGGGUGUUCUCUUCCUGACCCCCUCCCCAGAGGCCACUUCUGCCUGGCUCCCCCCAGCAGGAGUGGGGUGGAGCACAUGUGUCUGACACACGACCCAUUCUAUCAUUCUAUCCGCUCCCAGGAAAAGCGCGCCAGAGGAGAGUCCUGUUUCCCGAGAAAAACGCCAGCCAGCCCAGGGUGCAGCAACCCCACUGCUUCAAUUCUCACACGGUCCCGCAGCUGGCCCCUAGAUCCACUGUAUUCCAGCUCAUUCUCUUUUUUGGUCAGAGUCCAGAGCCCCAAAGCUACCCAGGAUGUGGCAGCAAGGAUGUGGCUGGUCAGGAGGUAAGGGACUGAAUGUUCUUGAGCAUUUCGUCAAAGGCCUGUGGGGAUGGCGCAUCUGCAUUCCGGAAGGUGGCCUGGACCCGGCUGUACAGGCUGAAGGAUUUCAGCUCCAGCCAGACGAACCCGAAGCGGUCCUCGUCGAAGAGGAUGAAGACCCCAGGGGUGCGUUCAGGGCUGGUGAAGCCAUGGCCCGCGAUGAGGCCUGUGCCAUAAAAACUGAACAGAGACAAGAGGAUAAGUGUGAGUUGGGAGGAGGGCUGAGUCAAGUUCACCUCAAGUCUGGCAUUCUGAGAUGCUCCUCCGUUCCACAAGAGCCACAUCCACUAUUCAUCAGCCACAAGCUGACUCCCAAAGCCAGCCUGUCUCUACAGGGGCAGCUGGGGGUGCGGGCUGAAACUCUGCAAGGGUAGCUGGGGGUGUGUGCUGAGCCUGCCUCUGCAGGGGUAGCUAAGGGCACAGGUCAAGCCCACCUAAUGAUGGCUGCAGAGGCCAGACCUCCAGGCUGCUUGGGGUGUGGGCACUGACGCACAGCACCUGUGAGAGGGAUUCACUCACUCACUGCACACGGUGCUGCCUCACCAAACUAAAACAAGAGGUCUCUGCAGGCCCAAAGAGCUCUAUUCCAAAACACACAUUUCAUACCAGGCCCAACAUGAAAAAAUCUUCAUUUCAGGGAGUUAUGUCCCCAUACAAACAAUGAGAUAUAAUGUAGAUGGCCUGCAGCUGACAUUCACUCAGGGGGAAGAACUCGCAGACACCCAUUUAUGGCUCUGAAGUCAACAUCAAACGGGAAAACACUUAUGGCUGUCUUGCAAGCAGCUAAAUUCUUCCAACAAAUGGCGAGAAUCAUCCAGCCACAAAGGCUCCAAAGGUCUGGUGGGUGAGUACCCCCUUGGACCAGGGCCUGGGCCUCAGAGGUCGUCUCAGGUGGAGGGAGAAGCUCCAGGGCCGAGAGGCAGGUACAGUCAUCAGCACUGUGCUCGCAAAAAGCAAGAGGCAUUCCCUGUACAGAUGCUGUGGCCAGGCCCUUCAGACCCAUAAACCAAACAGGGAAGGACCGGGAGCUCCCAUAUUCAGCAUGGGGUGGACUGUCAUGCAGGUUAGCUGGGAAGAGGGGCUGGAGGGCUCUCCGGCCAGUGGCCGUAGCACAUGCUGUGACCUGCAAACUGGCUCUGAGCCGGUUGUGAGGUUUUAGGAGUUUUGACAUUUUUGAAGGGUAGCAGAGCUUUUUCCUUUUAUAGCUAUUCAAACAUUUACACCAGCUAAAACAACACUAUGACACUAUUUGUAUGCCUCUCUCUGUAAGCUCCUCAGUCACUGUUAUACAUGUGAACAUGAAGAAAGCCCCACCCAGACAUCCAAACCCCAUCUGGGCCAGUGGCACCUCCCUCCAUGAUGGGAAGUUUAGUGGGAAAUGCAGACACAUGGUGACAUGGCUUGCAGGUAAAAGGAAAAUAACUUGUAAUGUGAAAAUGGCAGAAAGACUUUGAUGCCAGGAGACUGACAGGCGGACCCUCAAAAUGACCCCCAAGGCCACUGUCUGGCAGAACCCUCUGUGUUGAUGGAAUGUUCUAGAAGUGCACUGUCCACCAGCCAUAUGUGGCCAGGAAGUACUUGAAACAUGGCCUGGGUGGCUGAGGGCCUGGAUUUUUCA